GUUGUAUGGUUAAGUGACUAAGCGUACACGGUGGAUGCCUGGGCAGUCAGAGGCGAUGAAGGACGUACUAACUUGCGAUAAGCGCAGAUAAGGCAGUAAGAGCCGUUUGAGUCUGCGAUUUCCGAAUGGGGAAACCCAACUGCAUAAGCAGUUACUGUUAACUGAAUACAUAGGUUAACAGAGCAAACCGGGGGAACUGAAACAUCUAAGUACCCCGAGGAGAAGAAAUCAACCGAGAUUCCGGUAGUAGCGGCGAGCGAACCUGGAUUAGCCCUUAAGCACUCGGUGAAGUAGGUGAACAAGCUGGAAAGCUUGGCGAUACAGGGUGAUAGCCCCGUAACCGACGCUUCAUCGAGCGUGAAAUCGAGUAGGGCGGGACACGUGAUAUCCUGUCUGAAUAUGGGGGGACCAUCCUCCAAGGCUAAAUACUCCUGACUGACCGAUAGUGAACCAGUACCGUGAGGGAAAGGCGAAAAGAACCCCUGUGAGGGGAGUGAAAUAGAACCUGAAACCGUGUACGUACAAGCAGUAGGAGCACCUUCGUGGUGUGACUGCGUACCUUUUGUAUAAUGGGUCAGCGACUUAUAUUCAGUGGCAAGGUUAACCGUAUAGGGGAGCCGUAGCGAAAGCGAGUCUUAACUGGGCGCUCAGUCUCUGGAUAUAGACCCGAAACCGGGUGAUCUAGCCAUGGGCAGGUUGAAGGUUGAGUAACAUCAACUGGAGGACCGAACCGACUAAUGUUGAAAAAUUAGCGGAUGACUUGUGGCUAGGGGUGAAAGGCCAAUCAAACUCGGAGAUAGCUGGUUCUCCCCGAAAGCUAUUUAGGUAGCGCCUCGGACGAAUACUACUGGGGGUAGAGCACUGUUAAGGCUAGGGGUCAUCCCGACUUACCAACCCUUUGCAAACUCCGAAUACCAGUAAGUACUAUCCGGGAGACACACGGCGGGUGCUAACGUCCGUCGUGGAGAGGGAAACAACCCAGACCGCCAGCUAAGGUCCCAAAGUAUUGCUAAGUGGGAAACGAUGUGGGAAGGCUCAGACAGCUAGGAUGUUGGCUUAGAAGCAGCCAUCAUUUAAAGAAAGCGUAAUAGCUCACUAGUCGAGUCGGCCUGCGCGGAAGAUGUAACGGGGCUAAGCAAUACACCGAAGCUGCGGCAAUAUCUUUUAGAUAUUGGGUAGGGGAGCGUUCUGUAAGCCGUUGAAGGUGAAUCGUAAGGUUUGCUGGAGGUAUCAGAAGUGCGAAUGCUGACAUGAGUAACGACAAAGGGGGUGAAAAACCUCCUCGCCGGAAGACCAAGGGUUCCUGUCCAACGUUAAUCGGGGCAGGGUGAGUCGACCCCUAAGGUGAGGCCGAAAGGCGUAAUCGAUGGGAAACGGGUUAAUAUUCCCGUACUUCUGACUAUUGCGAUGGGGGACGGAGAAGGCUAGGUGGGCCAGGCGACGGUUGUCCUGGUUCAAGUGCGUAGGCUUGAGAGUUAGGUAAAUCCGGCUCUCUCUAAGGCUGAGACACGACGUCGAGCUGCUACGGCAGUGAAGUCAUUGAUGCCAUGCUUCCAGGAAAAGCCUCUAAGCUUCAGAUAGUCAGGAAUCGUACCCCAAACCGACACAGGUGGUCGGGUAGAGAAUACCAAGGCGCUUGAGAGAACUCGGGUGAAGGAACUAGGCAAAAUGGUACCGUAACUUCGGGAGAAGGUACGCUCUUGAUGGUGAAGUCCCUCGCGGAUGGAGCUGACGAGAGUCGCAGAUACCAGGUGGCUGCAACUGUUUAUUAAAAACACAGCACUGUGCAAAAUCGCAAGAUGACGUAUACGGUGUGACGCCUGCCCGGUGCCGGAAGGUUAAUUGAUGGGGUUAGCGCAAGCGAAGCUCUUGAUCGAAGCCCCGGUAAACGGCGGCCGUAACUAUAACGGUCCUAAGGUAGCGAAAUUCCUUGUCGGGUAAGUUCCGACCUGCACGAAUGGCGUAAUGAUGGCCACGCUGUCUCCACCCGAGACUCAGUGAAAUUGAAAUCGCUGUGAAGAUGCAGUGUACCCGCGGCUAGACGGAAAGACCCCGUGAACCUUUACUACAGCUUGGCACUGAACAUUGAACCUACAUGUGUAGGAUAGGUGGGAGGCUAUGAAGACGUGACGCCAGUUGCGUUGGAGCCGUCCUUGAAAUACCACCCUUGUAUGUUUGAUGUUCUAACUUAGACCCGUUAUCCGGGUUGAGGACAGUGCCUGGUGGGUAGUUUGACUGGGGCGGUCUCCUCCCAAAGAGUAACGGAGGAGCACGAAGGUGGGCUAAUCACGGUUGGACAUCGUGAGGUUAGUGCAAUGGCAUAAGCCCGCUUAACUGCGAGAAUGACGGUUCGAGCAGGUGCGAAAGCAGGUCAUAGUGAUCCGGUGGUUCUGUAUGGAAGGGCCAUCGCUCAACGGAUAAAAGGUACUCCGGGGAUAACAGGCUGAUACCGCCCAAGAGUUCAUAUCGACGGCGGUGUUUGGCACCUCGAUGUCGGCUCAUCACAUCCUGGGGCUGAAGUCGGUCCCAAGGGUAUGGCUGUUCGCCAUUUAAAGUGGUACGCGAGCUGGGUUUAGAACGUCGUGAGACAGUUCGGUCCCUAUCUGCCGUGGGCGUUGGAAGAUUGAAGGGGGCUGCUCCUAGUACGAGAGGACCGGAGUGGACGAACCUCUGGUGUUCGGGUUGUGUCGCCAGACGCAUUGCCCGGUAGCUAAGUUCGGAAUUGAUAAGCGCUGAAAGCAUCUAAGCGCGAAGCGAGCCCUGAGAUGAGUCUUCCCUGACGGUUUAACCGUCCUAAAGGGUUGUUCGAGACUAGAACGUUGAUAGGCAGGGUGUGUAAGCGUUGUGAGGCGUUGAGCUAACCUGUACUAAUUGCCCGUGAGGCUUAACCAUACAACACCCAAGGGGUUUUGUA
rnacentral:rRNA from 1 species